UUCGCAAUGCCCGAAAGGGUGACGAAGCGACGCCGCGUGCGGGAAGAAGGCCUUCGGGUUGUAAACCGCUGUCGGGAGUUAGGAAAUGCAAGGAUGUUAAUAGCAUUCUUGCUUGACUAAGGCUCCGGAGGAAGCCACGGCUAACUCUGUGCCAGCAGCCGCGGUAAUACAGAGGCGGCAAGCGUUGUUCGGAAUUAUUGGGCGUAAAGAGCACGUAGGCGGCUCUGUAAGUCAGCUGUGAAAGCCUUCUGCUUAACGGAAGAACAGCAUCUGAUACUGCAAGGCUAGAGUGCGGAAGGGGAGAGUGGAACUUCUGGUGGAGCGGUGAAAUGCGUAGAUAUCAGAAGGAACACCGGCGGCGAAGGCGACUCUCUGGUCCAUAACUGACGCUGAGUGUGCGAAGGCUAGGGGAGCAAACGGGAUUAGAUACCCCGGUAGUCCUAGCCGUAAACGAUGGGCACUAAGUAGAGGGGUUUU
rnacentral:rRNA from 1 species